CCAGACUCCUACGGGAGGCAGCAGUGAGGAAUAUUGGUCAAUGGCCGAGAGGCUGAACCAGCCAAGUCGCGUGAGGGAAGAAUGUCCUAUGGAUUGUAAACCUCUUUUGUCAGGGAGCAAAGUCACCCACGUGUGGGUGUUGGAGAGUACCUGAAGAAAAAGCAUCGGCUAACUCCGUGCCAGCAGCCGCGGUAAUACGUAGGGGGCAAGCGUUAUCCGGAUUUACUGGGUGUAAAGGGAGCGUAGACGGUGCAGCAAGUCUGAUGUGAAAGGUCGGGGCCCAACCCCGGGACUGCAUUGGAAACUGUUGAACUGGAGUACAGGAGAGGUAAGCGGAAUUCCUAGUGUAGCGGUGAAAUGCGUAGAUAUUAGGAGGAACACCAGUGGCGAAGGCGGCUUACUGGACUGUAACUGACGCUGAGGCACGAAGGCCAGGGGAGCGAAAGGGAUUAGAUACCCUCGUAAA
rnacentral:rRNA from 1 species